rnacentral:lncRNA from 1 species
GCGGGACGAAAAUUCACCAGAAAGACCGAAAUCGCACAAAUCAACCAGGAAGCUCGAGGUGGCCCUAUCUGACGGAUCAGGACGUGCUGUCCUUCAUCCAAGAAUCUUAGUGUCUCCGUAGCACGACAUGUCUCCGCAGGAAGAAGCCUCACAUGCAGCAUGACACCCAAAGCACGACAUGGCAUCGUCUUGACACCCACAGGCCCGUGUGUCGCGAUGCAUGAGCUCCAGCCAUGCUGAAUGACAUCUGGAGGUGGUGCUGGCUUCUGGCAUGCAGAGGAGUCAUGCAUGGUGACAUUUGG